rnacentral:rRNA from 1 species
UACGGGGGGGGCAAGCGUUGUUCGGAAUUACUGGGCGUAAAGAGCUCGUAGGUGGCUUAGUAAGUCGGGUGUGAAACCUCCAGGCUCAACCUGGAGACGCCACCCGAUACUGCUAUAGCUUGAGUCCGGUAGGGGAGCGUGGAAUUCCUGGUGUAGCGGUGAAAUGCGCAGAUAUCAGGAGGAACACCAGUGGCGAAGGCGGCUCACUGGACCGGAACUGACGCUGAGGCGCGAAAGCGUGGGGAGCAAACAGG